GAUGAACGCUGGCGGCGUGCCUAAUACAUGCAAGUCGAGCGAACGGACGAGAAGCUUGCUUCUCUGAUGUUAGCGGCGGACGGGUGAGUAACACGUGGAUAACCUACCUAUAAGACUGGGAUAACUUCGGGAAACCGGGGCUAAUACCGGAUAAUAUUUUGAACCGCAUGGUUCAAAAGUGAAAGACGGUCUUGCUGUCACUUAUAGAUGGAUCCGCGCUGCAUUAGCUAGUUGGUAAGGUAACGGCUUACCAAGGCAACGAUGCAUAGCCGACCUGAGAGGGUGAUCGGCCACACUGGAACUGAGACACGGUCCAGACUCCUACGGGAGGCAGCAGUAGGGAAUCUUCCGCAAUGGGCGAAAGCCUGACGGAGCAACGCCGCGUGAGUGAUGAAGGUCUUCGGAUCGUAAAACUCUGUUAUUAGGGAAGAACAUAUGUGUAAGUAACUGUGCACAUCUUGACGGUACCUAAUCAGAAAGCCACGGCUAACUACGUGCCAGCAGCCGCGGUAAUACGUAGGUGGCAAGCGUUAUCCGGAAUUAUUGGGCGUAAAGCGCGCGUAGGCGGUUUUUUAAGUCUGAUGUGGAAGCCCACGGCUCAACCGUGGAGGGUCAUUGGAAACUGGAAAACUUGAGUGCAGAAGAGGAAAGUGGAAUUCCAUGUGUAGCGGUGAAAUGCGCAGAGAUAUGGAGGAACACCAGUGGCGAAGGCGACUUUCUGGUCUGUAACUGACGCUGAUGUGCGAAAGCGUGGGGAUCAAACAGGAUUAGAUACCCUGGUAGUCCACGCCGUAAACGAUGAGUGCUAAGUGUUAGGGGGUUUCCGCCCCUUAGUGCUGCAGCUAACGCAUUAAGCACUCCGCCUGGGGAGUACGACCGCAAGGUUGAAACUCAAAGGAAUCGACGGGGACCCGCACAAGCGAUGGAGCAUGUGGUUUAAUUCGAAGCAACGCGAAGAACCUUACCAAAUCUUGACAUCCUUUGACAACUCUAGAGAUAGAGCCUUCCCCUUCGGGGGACAGAGUGACAGGUGGUGCAUGGUUGUCGUCAGCUCGUGUCGUGAGAUGUUGGGUUAAGUCCCGCAACGAGCGCAACCCUUAAGCUUAGUUGCCAUCAUUAAGUUGGGCACUCUAAGUUGACUGCCGGUGACAAACCGGAGGAAGGUGGGGAUGACGUCAAAUCAUCAUGCCCCUUAUGAUUUGGGCUACACACGUGCUACAAUGGACAAUACAAAGGGCAGCGAAACCGCGAGGUCAAGCAAAUCCCAUAAAGUUGUUCUCAGUUCGGAUUGUAGUCUGCAACUCGACUACAUGAAGCUGGAAUCGCUAGUAAUCGUAGAUCAGCAUGCUACGGUGAAUACGUUCCCGGGUCU
rnacentral:rRNA from 1 species